GUUGAACGCUGGCGGAAUGCUUUACACAUGCAAGUCGAACGGCAGCACGGGUGCUUGCACCUGGUGGCGAGUGGCGAACGGGUGAGUAAUACAUCGGAACGUACCCAGUCGUGGGGGAUAACGUAGCGAAAGUUACGCUAAUACCGCAUACGUCCUGAGGGAGAAAGCGGGGGACCGUAAGGCCUCGCGCGAUUGGAGCGGCCGAUGUCUGAUUAGCUAGUUGGUGAGGUAAAGGCUCACCAAGGCGACGAUCAGUCGCUGGUCUGAGAGGAUGAUCAGCCACACUGGAACUGAGACACGGUCCAGACUCCUACGGGAGGCAGCAGUGGGGAAUUUUGGACAAUGGGCGAAAGCCUGAUCCAGCCAUUCCGCGUGAGUGAAGAAGGCCUUCGGGUUGUAAAGCUCUUUCGGCAGGGACGAAACGCUCUAGAUUAAUACUCUGGGGUAAUGACGGUACCUGAAGAAGAAGCACCGGCUAACUACGUGCCAGCCGCCGCCGUAA
rnacentral:rRNA from 1 species